rnacentral:rRNA from 1 species
CGGUAACAGAGAGUAGCUUGCUACUCUGCUGACGAGCGGCGGACGGGUGAGUAAUGCUUGGGAAUAUGCCUUAUGGUGGGGGACAACAGUUGGAAACGACUGCUAAUACCGCAUGAUGUCUACGGACCAAAGUGGGGGACCUUCGGGCCUCACGCCAUAAGAUUAGCCCAAGUGGGAUUAGCUAGUUGGUGAGGUAAUGGCUCACCAAGGCGACGAUCCCUAGCUGGUUUGAGAGGAUGAUCAGCCACACUGGGACUGAGACACGGCCCAGACUCCUACGGGAGGCAGCAGUGGGGAAUAUUGCACAAUGGGCGCAAGCCUGAUGCAGCCAUGCCGCGUGUGUGAAGAAGGCCUUCGGGUUGUAAAGCACUUUCAGUAAGGAGGAAAGGUUAAGUGUUAAUAGCACUUAGCUGUGACGUUACUUACAGAAGAAGCACCGGCUAACUCCGUGCCAGCAGCCGCGGUAAUACGGAGGGUGCGAGCGUUAAUCGGAAUUACUGGGCGUAAAGCGUACGCAGGCGGUUUGUUAAGCGAGAUGUGAAAGCCCCGGGCUCAACCUGGGAACUGCAUUUCGAACUGGCAAACUAGAGUGUGAUAGAGGGUGGUAGAAUUUCAGGUGUAGCGGUGAAAUGCGUAGAGAUCUGAAGGAAUACCGAUGGCGAAGGCAGCCACCUGGGUCAACACUGACG